rnacentral:rRNA from 1 species
GCUUAACACAUGCAAGUCGAGGGGCAUCAGGAAGAAAGCUUGCUUUCUUUGCUGGCGACCGGCGCACGGGUGAGUAACACGUAUCCAACCUGCCCUUUACUCGGGGAUAGCCUUUCGAAAGAAAGAUUAAUACCCGAUAGCAUAAUGAUUCCGCAUGGUUUCAUUAUUAAAGGAUUCCGGUAAAGGAUGGGGAUGCGUUCCAUUAGGUUGUUGGUGAGGUAACGGCCCACCAAGCCUUCGAUGGAUAGGGGUUCUGAGAGGAAGGUCCCCCACAUUGGAACUGAGACACGGUCCAAACUCCUACGGGAGGCAGCAGUGAGGAAUAUUGGUCAAUGGGCGCUAGCCUGAACCAGCCAAGUAGCGUGAAGGAUGAAGGCUCUAUGGGUCGUAAACUUCUUUUAUAUAAGAAUAAAGUGCAGUAUGUAUACUGUUUUGUAUGUAUUAUAUGAAUAAGGAUCGGCUAACUCCGUGCCAGCAGCCGCGGUAAUACGGAGGAUCCGAGCGUUAUCCGGAUUUAUUGGGUUUAAAGGGAGCGUAGGUGGACUGGUAAGUCAGUUGUGAAAGUUUGCGGCUCAACCGUAAAAUUGCAGUUGAUACUGUCAGUCUUGAGUACAGUAGAGGUGGGCGGAAUUCGUGGUGUAGCGGUGAAAUGCUUAGAUAUCACGAAGAACUCCGAUUGCGAAGGCAGCUCACUGGACUGCAACUGACACUGAUGCUCGAAAGUGUGGGUAUCAAACAGGAUUAGAUACCCUGGUAGUCCACACAGUAAACGAUGAAUACUCGCUGUUUGCGAUAUACAGUAAGCGGCCAAGCGAAAGCAUUAAGUAUUCCACCUGGGGAGUACGCCGGCAACGGUGAAACUCAAAGGAAUUGACGGGGGCCCGCACAAGCGGAGGAACAUGUGGUUUAAUUCGAUGAUACGCGAGGAACCUUACCCGGGCUUAAAUUGCAGUGGAAUGAUGUGGAAACAUGUCAGUGAGCAAUCACCGCUGUGAAGGUGCUGCAUGGUUGUCGUCAGCUCGUGCCGUGAGGUGUCGGCUUAAGUGCCAUAACGAGCGCAACCCUUAUCUUUAGUUACUAACAGGUUAUGCUGAGGACUCUGGAGAGACUGCCGUCGUAAGAUGUGAGGAAGGUGGGGAUGACGUCAAAUCAGCACGGCCCUUACGUCCGGGGCUACACACGUGUUACAAUGGGGGGUACAGAAGGCAGCUAGCGGGUGACCGUAUGCUAAUCCCAAAAGCCUCUCUCAGUUCGGAUCGAAGUCUGCAACCCGACUUCGUGAAGCUGGAUUCGCUAGUAAUCGCGCAUCAGCCACGGCGCGGUGAAUACGUUCCCGGGCCUUGUACACACCGCCCGUCAAGCCAUGAAAGCCGGGGGUACCUGAAGUACGUAACCGCAAGGAGCGUCCUAGGGUAAAACUGGUAAUUGGGGCUAAGUCAU